ACCUAAAUAGUAUAACUAAGUACAAUAAGUUUCCAACUUGAAGGUUCGUUAGAUUUAGGUA
rnacentral:tRNA from 1 species